UAGAUACCCAAGUUGUCUCUUUAGCUUCUAAGCUGAGCAGGGUCAGGCUUGGUUGGUACUUGAAUGGGAGACCUUCCAAGAAAACUCAAGGUGGUGAUCCAA
ensembl:rRNA 5S_rRNA 5S ribosomal RNA